UACAGAGGGUGCGAGCGUUAAUCGGAAUUACUGGGCGUAAAGCGUGCGUAGACGGUUUCGUAAGUCGGGUGUGAAAUCCCCGGGCUUAACCUAGGAAUUGCAUUUGGUACUGUUUAGCUAGAGUGCAGUAGAGGGAAGUGGAAUUUCCGGUGUAGCGGUGAAAUGCGUAGAUAUCGGAAGGAACAUCAGUGGCGAAGGCGACUUUCUGGACUGUAACUGACACUGAGGCACGAAAGCGUGGGGAGCGAACAGG
rnacentral:rRNA from 1 species